UACGUAGGGUGCGAGCGUUAAUCGGAAUUAUUGGGCGUAAAGCGCGCGCAGGCGGUCCUUUAAGUCUGAUGUGAAAGCCCACGGCUCAACCGUGGAGGGUCAUUGGAAACUGGGAGACUUGAGUGCAGAAGAGGAAAGUGGAAUUCCAUGUGUAGCGGUGAAAUGCGUAGAGAUAUGGAGGAACACCAGUGGCGAAGGCGACUUUCUGGUCUGUAACUGACACUGAGGCGCGAAAGCCAGGGGAGCAAACGGG
rnacentral:rRNA from 1 species